GAUGAACGCUGGCGGCGUGCCUAAUACAUGCAAGUCGAGCGAACAGACGAGGAGCUUGCUCCUCUGACGUUAGCGGCGGACGGGGGAGUAACACGUGGAUAACCUACCUAUAAGACUGGGAUAACUUCGGGAAACCGGAGCUAAUACCGGAUAAUAUAUUGAACCGCAUGGUUCAAUAGUGAAAGACGGUUUUGCUGUCACUUAUAGAUGGAUCCGCGCCGCAUUAGCUAGUUGGUAAGGUAACGGCUUACCAAGGCGACGAUGCGUAGCCGACCUGAGAGGGGGAUCGGCCACACUGGAACUGAGACACGGUCCAGACUCCUACGGGAGGCAGCAGUAGGGAAUCUUCCGCAAUGGGCGAAAGCCGGACGGAGCAACGCCGCGUGAGUGAUGAAGGUCUUCGGAUCGUAAAACUCUGUUAUUAGGGAAGAACAAAUGUGUAAGUAACUAUGCACGUCUUGACGGUACCUAAUCAGAAAGCCACGGCUAACUACGUG
rnacentral:rRNA from 1 species